rnacentral:rRNA from 1 species
UACGAAGGGGGCUAGCGUUGUUCGGAAUCACUGGGCGUAAAGCGCACGCAGGCGGAUCGUUAAGUCAGGGGUGAAAUCCCGAGGCUCAACCUCGGAACUGCCUUUGAUACUGGCGAUCUUUGAGUCCGGGAGAGGUGAGUGGAACUCCGAGUGUAGAGGUGAAAUUCGUAGAUAUUCGGAAGAACACCAGUGGCGAAGGCGGCCACCUGGACGGUAACUGACGCUGAGACGCGAAAAGCGUGGG